UACAUGUGGGGCAAGCGUUGUUCGGAAUUACUGGGCAUAAAGGGUGCGUAGGCGGCUUGUUAAGUCAGGGGUGAAAGUUUUCGGCCCAACCGGAAAAUUGCCUUUGAUACUGGCGAGCUGGAGUGCGUGAGGGGUGACCGGAACGAGUGGUGUAGCGGUGAAAUGCGUAGAGAUCGGGAGGAACACCCGUAGCGAAGGCGGCCGACUGGACCACACCUGACGCUGAGGCGCGAAGGCCAGGGGAGCGAACGGG
rnacentral:rRNA from 1 species